GAUUUUGAUUAGCUGUGCUGUGCAAUAUUUAAUGUAUCAGGUUUUCCUGAAUAAUUUGUUUCUAAAAAUCCUCGUUUUUCUCUUAAUUUUCUUCUCUCACAAUUUCUCAGCAAGCAAACAAAGUAAAAGCAAAUAAGAAAGUAAACUCAAAGCAGUAGCAAUCAAAGGAUCAUUUGCAGAAGCGCGUGACCCUUUCUCAGGAUUCUGCUUCGUAACCACCAUGGAUCUAAAAAAAAAAAAACUCGCUUUUCAAAUUGAGAGAAAAAUCUGGUUCGAGUAAUUGUGGAAUCCAAAAGAGAAACAUCGCUCAGGUUCUUCGAUGAGGAUAAAACACGAGGAUCCCUGGCAGACAUUCUCGGAGAGAUAAGGCUAAUAGUCGCCAUUUUUAUAAGCUCUGUAUCUGUGUUCUGCUGCAGUUUUUGUAAUGGAGAGUAACAGUGAAACAGAGGCGCAAAGAGUAACAAUGACCGACUGAAAGAGGGGAAGAAAGGGAUCGAAACUUGAAGGAG
rnacentral:misc_RNA from 1 species